CUCUGCACGUGUGAUAUGUUUGCUUGUCACCAAAUACAAGACAAUUUAACAAUCCUAGGCAGUCUGUGACUGGUCAAGCUUCUUUGUAAGCUUCAGAAGAUGCUGCAGAAGUCUCUGGGAAUUCUUGAGUUUUUGAGCUGAAAAUGGAAAUGCAAUCUUGCCUGAGGCUUUCAGUCACAAUGCUACCUAGAAAACAAACAAAAGGACUAUCCAUAGAUUAUGGUUGAUUUCUGCAUUAACACAGCCUGCCUCUGCCACUCAGCAACUGAUCACUUUAUCAGCAGGAUACUAGAUACUUAUUAGGUCUUACACCCAGGGUAAAACAGACCCUGAAGAAGAGAGGGAACAGAAGAGGGAGAGAGCACAGAACCCACCACUGGCGAGAAGCUGGGAAAG
rnacentral:lncRNA from 1 species